rnacentral:lncRNA from 1 species
AAGCCACACGGAUCCUCUUGUCUUGGUCUCCUGACAUUUGGAUUAAAGUCAUUUCCUGAAUCUAUGACAAGACUUGAGAGACCACCAAAGCCCAAGAGGUCUUGUUUCACAAGAGAAUCUUCAGGUGUUUUAGGCCUUUAUGACACACCCCAAGCCCUUCAGAGAGCCACAAGAAUGGCCCAGAGGAAAUUCUAAACCACUAUGACUCAUGGGUCCCCGAAAGGAAUUAGGAAGUAGAGAUUUACAGGUUGACUGGACCAGUAAGCAUAUUAUUAAUCCUUCAAACUCAGUGGAGGUCCACUUCCUAUUGAUGUUUGCAUGCUGGACACACAUCUGGAGACUUCGCUUUGUCCCCAACAAACAUCUGAACUUCAGGUCACCUGGAGGUGCAGGCCAUCGCUAUGUUAAACCUAUGAGGUGAUGAUAAACCACACAA